GAUGAACGCUGGCGGUAUGCUUAACACAUGCAAGUCGAACGGUCACCUCGGUGAUAGUGGCGGACGGGUGAGUAACGCGUGAGAAUCUGUCUUCAGGUCGGGGACAACAGUUAGAAAUGACUGCUAAUACCGGAUGUGCCUUUGGGUGAAAGAUUUAUUGCCUGAAAAAGAGCUCGCGUCAGAUUAGCUAGUAGGUGGUGUAAGAGACUACCUAGGCUCCGAUCUGUAGCUGGUCUGAGAGGACGAUCAGCCACACUGGAACUGAGACACGGUCCAGACUCCUACGGGAGGCAGCAGUGGGGAAUUUUCCGCAAUGGGCGAGAGCCUGACGGAGCAAUACCGCGUGAGGGACGAAGGCUUUUGGGUCGUAAACCUCUUUUCUCAAGGAAGAUGAUGACGGUACUUGAGGAAUAAGCAUCGGCUAACUCUGUG
rnacentral:rRNA from 1 species